AUGGGCGGGCUAGGGUUUGGGGUCGACGGCGGGCGAGGGAACCGAUUUGGAGGGGGAUUGGAUAGCAUAGGUUGAUGUAAUAAUGAUGAAGUGGAACAAAAGCGGGGAGGAAGGAGGGGUAUAUGGGUAAAAUUAAGUCACCGUCCGAAGCGGCCGGAGAGUAUUCGAGAGUCUACUAUUCUUCUGGAUUCUGUUGGGUUUUUUUUCUCUCUCUCUGUGGUUUGUGUGCUUUGUAUGAAACGAAGCUUGAGGUGGAGAAUGGAAGAGAGAAAUUAAAGAGAAGGGAAG
rnacentral:lncRNA from 1 species